CCCUUAGAUGUCCUGGGCCGCACGCGCGCUAUACUGACAUGUUCAACAAGCCUCCUAGUUCGACAGGAUUUGGGAAAUCUUUGAACGCAUGUCGUGAUAGGGAUAGAUCAUUGCAAUUAUUGAUCUUGAACGAGGAAUUCCUAGUAAACGCGAGUCAUCAGCUCGCAUUGAUUACGUCCCUGCCCUUUGUACACACCGCCCGUCGCACCUACCGAUUGAAUGUUUCGGUGAAGAUUCCGGAUAGGACUUUUUUGAUUUAUUUCAAUUUUGUCUUAAAAGCUAUCUAAACCUCAACAUUUAGAGGAAGGUGAAGUCGUAACA
rnacentral:rRNA from 1 species